UUGUAAAAACUGGACUUGGAAGAUAAGAGAAAAAGCCUUGCAGAAAGGGAGCCUAGUUGUAAAUCUUGUCUACUCCAGGCCGAAGAAAAGGGUCCAGCCUUAAACUUCCCCAAACUGAUUCUUAGCUAUUGGUAAUGACAAUGCUUUUUUGUUAAAAGGUAUAGAAGUGUACACUCUGAAAGAGUUCAUUACUAGUGCCUGCUUCACCGAGCUGGAGCCAGCCAACAUGGGUUUGAACACCCCUGGGUCUAAUCCUCUUGCUGAGUCCCACAUAGUCAAAGAGACAAAACGAUAAACAAUGUGGUGGAGAACCUGAUACUCAGAUCUCCCUCACACUAACAGUUGCCUAGAAAAGGUAGAGCUAAACUCACUGACUACACAGAAGAAGAAUCGUGCAGCAAACUGCCCCGGGAGCUCAGACCACUGGGAGCAAGAAGGAACUGAGGGGGUUGGGGCAGCAACAACUUAUACAGCUUCAGGAGGGGCCAUGAAGAUGUGCCAUCCCUAU